CCCUGACAGUCGCAUGGUGCGACUGACUUAACCCAGACAGGAGAAAAUCAUG
ncrna:unclassified sequences Mu-gpT-DE RNA